CGAAAGCGUAAUGUGGGUCCACCGUUCUCUUGUGGUUGUCUUCUCUCGUGAGAAUUUUUUCUGAUCUUCCGCUCGAAAAGUCCAUUCGAAACCCUUAGACGAAACUCUGAGAAUUUUUUCCGAUCUUCCUCUUGUUCAUCCUCUCACACGAUCAGAUCUGACGGCGAAGGCGAAGAAGCAAACGCUAAAAUCAAAUCCAGUUCAACUGAAAUCGAUCUCGAUUGGAGAGGGUUAUUCAAUCAAUGAUGAUGAACUCGAACUCACGGCUUACUUCAAUGUCGA